GAUGAACGCUAGCGGCAGGCUUAAUACAUGCAAGUCGAGGGGCAGCGCAGUGUAGCAAUACAUGGGCGGCGACCGGCAAACGGGUGCGGAACACGUACAGAACCUUCCUUCGAGCGGGGAAUAGCCCAGAGAAAUUUGGAUUAAUACCCCAUAGUAUAUUGAUAAGGCAUCUUAUUAAUAUUAAAGAUUUAUCACUUGAAGAUGGCUGUGCGGCUGAUUAGGAGUUGGCGGGGUAACGGCCCACCAAGCCUGCGAUCAGUAACUGGUGUGAGAGCACGACCAGUCACACGGGCACUGAGACACGGGCCCGACUCCUACGGGAGGCAGCAGUGGGGAAUCUUGCGCAAUGGGCGAAAGCCUGACGCAGCGACGCCGCGUGAGGGAUGACGGCCU
rnacentral:rRNA from 1 species